AUUGAACGCUGGCGGCAGGCCUAACACAUGCAAGUCGAACGGUAACAGGAAACAGCUUGCUGUUUCGCUGACGAGUGGCGGACGGGUGAGUAAUGUCUGGGAAACUGCCUGAUGGAGGGGGAUAACUACUGGAAACGGUAGCUAAUACCGCAUAACGUCGCAAGACCAAAGAGGGGGACCUUCGGGCCUCUUGCCAUCGGAUGUGCCCAGAUGGGAUUAUCUAGUAGGUGGGGUAACGGCUCACCUAGGCGACGAUCGCUAGCUGGUCUGAGAGGAUGACCAGCCACACUGGAACUGAGAGACGGUCCAGACUCCUACGGGAGGCAGCAGUGGGGAAGAUUGCAAAAUGGGCGCAAGCCUGAUGCAGCCAUGCAGGGUGUAUGAAGAAGGCCUUCGGGUGGGAAAGUACUUUCAGCGGGGAGGAAGGGAGUAAAGUGAAUACCUUUGCUCAUUGACGUUACCCGCAGAAGAAGCACGGGCUAACUCCGU
rnacentral:rRNA from 1 species